UAGCAAACAUAAAGGAUAUAUCAACUUGCUCAUCUAGAAGAUAUUGCAAUUCAUAGUAUUUCUCAGCACUAAUAUGAGUUAUUUUUCAUAUCUCAUAAUUAAAACAAUUCAAUUUGAUCACAUUCAUAGACAUUCAUUGAAAGUCAAAGCACACACAUAUAUAUAUAUAUAUUCAAAAGUGACUGAAUACAAAAGGUAUCCCAAUACACAUGAGUCAACUCAAAAUACAAAAAUCAUGGAUAGAAACUAUCCAAGAGUUAAUUAGCCAACAAAUACAAGG
rnacentral:lncRNA from 1 species